rnacentral:tRNA from 2 species
GAUCCCGUAGCUCAGCUGGCAGAGCAACUGACUUUUAAUCAGUGGGUCCCAGGUUCGAAUCCUGGCGGGAUCA